UACUGAUACUCUAUUGUUGUACAUGAACUACUGGAACUCUAUUGUUGUAGAUGAACUUCUGGUACUCUAUUGUUGUACAUGAACUACUGGUACUCUAUCUUUGUACAUUAACUACUGGCACUCUAUUGUUGUACAUGAAAUACUUGGUCUUUAAAAUUUAGAAUUGUCUAGUGUUUAUUGUUAUUUUCAGGAAUUCUUCAAUGAUAUUUUUGAGAAUGUCAAGCUUCAAGAUCAAUGGACGCCAAAAAGAGCAGGAGACUGGCUAAGUAGCCAUAAGAGUUUGGUCUUUUCUUUACAUGUGACACUUCAAGCCUUACCAAAAGCCUUUAAAUAGCUAUUGAAUGAGAACACAUCAGAUAUUGUUGUAGAUAAUAAGGUAGCUGAGUGAAUGGACAAUAGAUGACAGCUGAUUGGCUGAGAAACAAGUAUGAUUGAUAUACAAGAAGCAACAACAACAAAAACAACAGAGAGGUAAAGAAGACUUGUUUACAUGGAAAAAAUGUUGGCCUUGAAGAGUUCCUCAGCAUGUGAUUUUUAUGUAAGAAAAUCCAGAUCUAAUCCGCAUAAUUUUCAGAGAACAGGAACAGAGCCUUGUUGCUUGCUAGAUUUACCUAUGGAAUAAACAGUAGAUGAAAACAGUAAAGAGGAAAAAAAAAUCCAAGCAGAAAAUGUAAAGGUUGCUCAAUCUACUGCAAAAUGCUCGAGAUUUUGUGCAUGGGUUUUCCAAGACCAGAUAUGUUUACUAUGAGAUGAUGGACAGUGUACAGUGAAUUUUUGACCGCCUCGUUCAUUAUGACCAGUGGAGCUGAAAUUUGUUUAUAUAACAAGAAGCUGUGAUUAUUUGGGGACCUCUGCGUAGAGCCGAGGAUUGUGGGUAAAGACAAUGUAAUCUCAUCAUGUCAUAAGAUUGUCAUUGUGCGCCAACCAUGGCCUGAUUUUAUAGCUUCAAUGCAAGAAUGUGACGACACAAAAUAUAAGCAGACGACAACAAUGGAACAGAUGGUACAUCCUUUAUAUCAAAGAUUGGAAUUGAAAAGUCAGAAGAAAAAAACGUUGGAUGAAAUACCAUGCAACUAGAUCUGUUUUGGAAAAUGCCAAAGCUGCUCAUAGGAUUCGAACACACAAUCGUUGGGUUAUAAGGUCUUAGAAAUUUUCCAUAACUGACAGUACCUAUAAUAUUGAUAGAAUUUACAUGUAUGUUUAAAUUCUGUAUGUAUCGAUUGUUCUCUUUUAUACAAAUUAUCAUUUGUUUUGUGAAGAUUAAUUACUAGAACUGCUUUAUAUUUAAUACGAAUAUUACUUUCUAUAAAUGCUUCAAAAUAGAUGCAUUUGUAAUAUCGCUAGUCCUUUAAUACCCAUUCACUUAUUUCUAAAUCACUUUAUUUAUGUCUUAUUCAAGAAAUUCUUUUACAUCUUGUUAAAAUUAAUCAUACAGUUCUUGUUGAUGCCCGAUUUUCAUGUUUGCCGAUGCAACAGUUUCAUUUUACCGUAACUUCUCUCACGACAUAGUGGUAAAAAAAAACUUCGAUGAAAUUUAACCGCAAUCAUUGCUAUUGACUGUGAUGAAGUAAUUUUGUAAUUUGUCGGAAUGAUGUAUGUACGGUUACAUCUCCAGGUUACAUCUCCAGGUUACGAUAUCAUACCUUUACCUUUCAUUUGUGAAAAUUGUUGAUUACCCUUAAGUUAAUAGCUAAUCUUUCUUGCUGCUUUUCUAAUUUUUUGUUAAACGCUGUGUUGCUGAUAGUAUCGGACCUUGUCAGUUUCAUUUCUUUUGCAUUAAUUUGCGUUAAGUUGAAAUAUGAUGUGAAAACGAUGCAUUUAGAUUUGGAUUCGUAUUAAGCUAUAUUGUAAGUGAUACAAAGACGGCACAUCAUUUUACUGGUUUAUCUGCUAUUUGACAGGAAAACCGACAUAAAGAGUAAUCUUCAGUUUGAAUUUGUUUAAAUAUUCUCAAAUUUGUAAUGUCAAGAGAAAAAAAAAAAGACGAAUUGUAUCCACUGUACAAAAAGUAAAAUCUGUCGUCUUUGAAACACUUGGUCAAGUUUAAGUGGCUAAAUAUCUUAAACGGACUUGUCAAUCUUUCAAUCUAGACAAAACCAUUUCAUUGUUUUUAGGGAAAAAUCCAAAAUAUAUUCUGACUGAAUAGCGAACAUGUGAAAUGUGUUACAUAAAAAACCAUGGCAGGGAUGUGCCGGCUGAUCUUGGUCAGCGCUCGGGUCACAUGGGUUGAUCCAUGCCAGCAGGCUAAAGGUUUAACUGACCACAACAUUUUCAGCGAUGGGUCAUUUAAACUUUAGUUAUGUAUAACAAUAAUAAAAGUAUUAAUUUAAGUAUAUACUGUUGAUUUUAUGUCUUAUAUUUAUAAUCAAAGUGUCCAAGUGGCUGUGGAAUCUCAAAUAUUUGCUAUAUCCAAUAGUUCAUGGUGUGGGGGCUAAUUGUCUGUAAUUGAUUUAAAUUGGCAAAUUUACAUUUUAUAUACAAAUUAGAUAUUUCUUCACAAGGAUCGUCAAGUCUUUGAGGUUUUCGGCUUAUGUAUCUGAAGUUUGUUAUAUAUCUAACAUUUUAACCAUUUAAACCAUUUAAACUUGAAAGUAGUUGAAGAAAAAAAAAGAAAAUUUGUUAGAUUUUUUUUUCAAGUUUUCGUUAUAUAUUUUUUUUUUCUUUGGUAAAAUUAGGGGGUAUUGAUUUGUAUAAAACUUCUUGAGUUGUUUUUGAAGUAUGUACAUUUUGUUGAACUAAUUCAGGAUUAAAAGGGUCUCGUUCAAGUACUGGUUACAAAGUUUUAAAGUUUAUUAAAAUUAGAUGGAAAAAAAAACUCAAGUCUUUGACUGAGAUAACAGUGGAGUGUUUUCAAUCAUGGAUUAAGAAAAUUAAUGAUUAAUGGAAAAAUAAUAAAAACAGACUGAGUAUGUUGUUUGACACCAAACAGAUUUAACACCAUCAACACCACCCCCACACUUUCCUGUACGCCUACAUUAUCAUAAAAACAUACGCACUGCAUUUCAUUAAAAUCAAUUUUUCAUGCAUGUACAUUUUCAUUAUCUAAAUUGAAAGAUUUUAAUACAGAUGGCAUUAAUUUAGUGCCGUUAUAUCUGGUAUUGUAGAUAAAUGAUUCAGUUAUUGGUGUAUUCAUAAAUCUUUCACUUCCUUGGACUUGGGUUGCCAAUUGAAAUUUGAAACUUUAAUAUUUAAAAAAAAAACACUUGCAUCGGGUAUAGGACAGUGUAGGUUGUGGCAAAGUAGCAAAAAUUAAGUUUAGUGGUGAGAAAAAGACUUAAUUUACAUGGAGGUUCUUUUGCUUUAUACAGACUGCGGGGGAGGACCUUGUAGAAAAUAACAUGUCUGAUUAUGAUAAUUGGGUUUUAUCUUUCACAUCGCAAUCUAUAAUAAAUGAUAUUUUCAAUAUUAAAUGACUCAUAUCCUUUAAAUAUUCAAAUGAUGACGAUCGGAACAAGUUUUUAACUUAACAUAUUCGUAUUAGCUCUUAAAGCCCAGGGGUCAGUGAUAAGAUUGUGCAUGUCAUUUGGUAUAGAAGUGCUAGGCCGGAUGCCAGUAAAUAAAUCAUAAUUGCAACUGUUGUCAAAUUGAAUUACGUUCAAAUUUUAAAAGACCCAUUAUAUAACUGUCAACUUGCAAAAUGUUUGUAAUUCAUAUGCCUUGAAAUAUUCCUUUCAAAAUUUAAUGAAUUUCAAUAUGAAAAUAAUAAAAAAAAUGAGCUACCAACAUUAUAGAGCCUGGUCAGACUGCAGGGAAGGCCUGGCUCUAUACUCGUAUGGCAAUGGCUAAUCACUUGUUGCCGCAAGUAAAAAGUAAAAAAGUAAAAUGCACAAACUGUACCAUAAUCAAACCUAGCACAAUUAGAACAAGCACAAUUAGAAAAAAGGUACGGAUAAUGCACUAUUUAAGAUCAUUGAACAUUUUCUAUAGGAGAGAUCUAAAAGUUCAGAAAAUGAUUGCAUAUGUCACUUAGGUGCUCUUAAAGUUAGGGAACACGAGUUUGAGCACUUAUAACUUUGGUCACAUAUUUUCUCAUUUUACACAAUUACUUGCUAGAUCUUGGAAGCAAACUGACUGGAGAUUUUGAUACAAGUUGCAAGAACAUGUAAUGAAUGAUUAGUUUUAUAAAAGAGAAUAUCCCAAACCUUGGACAACUAAACACUAAGAGCACUACAAACCAAGCACUAAGAACACUCAACGAGCCUUUCAUGAGAUACAGAAAUGGUACAUUAUCAAAACUGGUAAAAAGGUCGGAAAAACUUUAUCCGAAUGGUUUUUGAUCUCGAAUAAAUUCUGGCUAACAUUAUUAUCAUAUUUCUAAAUUACGUGAACUUUGGUCAGAGAGGUUAAUAUAUCAGUAAAUACCCUUCCUCUUUGAAACUGUACCCCAACUUUCAAAGGGAUACUCUUAAUUCCCUGGAUAUUUUCCAAUUACAUAGAUUCCAAGGAAAAUUAUUAUUUUUUAUAUCAUGCAGAUUAAUGGAUUGGGGAAUGUAAUUAUGUCGGAAAGAAAAAUGAAAAUGAGCCCAGCAGUGAUUAUUCUGGUAGGGAUUAUAGGCAGUCGAUAUUUUGGGAUGAAAUUUUGAUUUUUUGAAGAAUUAUGG